rnacentral:rRNA from 1 species
GACAGAGGAUGCAAGCGUUAUCCGGAAUGAUUGGGCGUAAAGCGUCUGUGAGGUGGCUUUUUAAGUCUGCCGUCAAAUCCCAGGGCUUAACCCUGGACAGGCGGUGGAAACUACCAAGCUGGAGUACGGUAGGGGCAGAGGGAAUUUCCGGUGGAGCGGGUGAAAAUGCGUAGAGAUCGGAAAGAACACCAACGGCGAAAGCAACUCUGCUGGGCCGACACUGACACUGAGAGACGAAAGCUAGGGGAGCGAAUGGG